UCUUCAUUUCACGCACUCUCUCACCGGUCAGAGAGGCGAGAGAGCACGCGAAAUGAAGAGA
rfam:Pristionchus pacificus strain PS312 contig6779, whole genome shotgun sequence.